rnacentral:rRNA from 1 species
CGCGGCCUAUCAGCUUGUUGGUGGGGUAAUGGCCUACCAAGGCGUCGACGGGUAGCCGGCCUGAGAGGGUGGACGGCCACAUUGGGACUGAGAUACGGCCCAGACUCCUACGGGAGGCAGCAGUGGGGAAUAUUGCACAAUGGGCGCAAGCCUGAUGCAGCGACGCCGCGUGGGGGAUGACGGCCCUCGGGUUGUAAACUCCUUUCAGCCAUGACGAAGCCCUUUUGGGGUGACGGUAGUGGUAGAAGAAGCACCGGCUAACUACGUGCCAGCAGCCGCGGUAAUACGUAGGGUGCGAGCGUUGUCCGGAAUUACUGGGCGUAAAGAGCUCGUAGGUGGUCUGUCGCGUCAUUUGUGAAAGCCCGGGGCUUAACUCCGGGUUGGCAGGUGAUACGGGCAUGACUGGAGUACUGUAGGGGAGACUGGAAUUCCUGGUGUAGCGGUGAAAUGCGCAGAUAUCAGGGGGAACACCGGUGGCGAAGGCGGGUCUCUGGGCAGUAACUGACGCUGAGGAGCGAAAGCAUGGGUAGCGAACAGGAUUAGAUACCCUGGUAGUCCAUGCCGUAAACGGUGGGCGCUAGGUGUGGGUUUCCUUCCACGGGAUCCGUGCCGUAGCUAACGCAUUAAGCGCCCCGCCUGGGGAGUACGG